rnacentral:rRNA from 1 species
UACGUAGGGUGCAAGCGUUAAUCGGAAUUACUGGGCGUAAAGCGUGCGCAGGCGGUGAUGUAAGACAGAUGUGAAAUCCCCGGGCUCAACCUGGGAACUGCAUUUGUGACUGCAUCGCUGGAGUGCGGCAGAGGGGGAUGGAAUUCCGCGUGUAGCAGUGAAAUGCGUAGAUAUGCGGAGGAACACCGAUGGCGAAGGCAAUCCCCUGGGCCUGCACUGACGCUCAUGCACGAAAGCCAGGGGAGCAAACGGG